rnacentral:lncRNA from 1 species
AAAGAACAAAAGUAGAAAACCUAAGUUGGAGUUCCAUGUUGCAUCGUGCCCUAAUUUUACUCUCACUCUCUCCCGACCAAUUCAUUUCAGCCCUAAACAUUGUCCUGAUCUCUCUCUCCCGAUUUUAGUUCCCUGACUGGCGUUGCUCUCUAUGCUGACUAUAGUUGCCCUUCCUAGAGACUGUGAUUGUCGUCCGUUAACACUGCCAUUGUCAUCCAUCGACAUUGUUGUUGCAGUCCCGAUUUCUGUCUCGAUUUCAGUUCAGGUGUCCAUAUUUGUUGGUGUGAAAUGAUCCGAUGCCCUAAAUGUAUUGCGAUUGUCCUCCGUUAACACUGCCAUUGUCGUCCAUCAACACUGUAGUUGUCGUCCCGAUUUCUCCGUCUCUAUUUUAGUUUAGGCAUCCACAUUUGUUGGCAUGAAAUGAUCUAGUGGCCAAGUCGUACGAAUUGUGAAUUGUCCCUUCAUUUUGUUUAACCGUCCCGACUGCCAUUGGAUAUUUCAGGUUAGUAGGUUUUGUAAAUCUUGCCGCAGAUUUGAUUUCCUUGUCAGAAUCGUUGCUUUGUAUUAGUUUAGUGGCCUUUAUUUAUUUAAUAUUUUUCAUUAUCUUCUUUCUUGUGUUUUCUUAAGAAACAAAGAAUAGCAAAUUUAUCAUUUUGAGCUUUUGUCCGCCAAUCGCCGGUAAAGAAGAGAAUGUCAAUGCUUAGUUUCAAAGUUUUUAAAUUUCUUUUAAAGUGUGGUGUAUUUUUCCCUAUUUGGUUGCCGAUAAAAUGUUGGAGAAAGGAAUAAUACAAAAUUAGAAGUGUUAUGAUUCAGCUAAAAAAGGGGAAAAAACAUUCAGUUGAUAAGGAAUGAUUUAUCAAAUCAUAGGACUAUUGUUGGUAGCUUGCAAGAUUAGUUGUUUCUUCUUUUGGUAUCUUUUGGUAGUUGUUGCAUCUUUAUCUUAAAGUUUUUAUUGUGAACACCAUAUAUAAGUUUGUUUGUCAAUUUUGUGUUGUGAAAGUUGUCUUCAUAAAUGAUGUGGUUGUUUACAAGUAGACACAAUGCUCCCUACAUAUAUUCUCCUAAGCACGUUUAGUUACUUUACGCUAGAUGUACCAAUACAACUAAACGAGCGAGUAUUUAUCUUCUAGUCCAAAAUUCUAUUUAUAUUGUUUGUAGUUAUAGUAACAUAUAUUUGUAACUUGACACCUAGUGACCAAUUUAUAACAAAAAAAGUGAUAAGCAUGACUACAACGUUUUUGUCAUGAAGUUCAUGGAGCGUUGGUCCAUGGGUGGAUUGGCAAAAGCUAUCGAUGUGGUAUGUACAUGAGCCUUGUUUAUUUUCAUAUGAAGUGUGUGUUAAUAGUAGUAGUAAUUUUAGAAAUUAACUCCAAAUUUUCAAAUGUGUGUUUUACACUACAAUGAAUACAUGCAAAGCUUAAGAAGUAUCGAUUAAAGAUUAUGGGGAGAUUGUUAUUUUCUCAACAGAAUUUACAUCAACAUAUUUUUACCAAGAAAUGAAGGAUUAAGUUUGGUGGAAUUGAUGAUAGACAUUCAUUUGGUUGUUUUUAAAUUUGGGUGAUGAGACUGAUGUAAAUUAUCUUUUAUGUUAUAUGGGAUAUUGAGGACUUGGGAGUGGUUUUGACCGACUGACACUAUGAGGUUGAUACUCCAACAGCUUGAUCUUAUAUAUUUGUAAGUGAAGUGUUGGUUGUUGGACACUAUGUACAACAGGUUGUUAUAGCUAUUGCCCAUGGCCUUGUUAAAAGGUGAUUUUGCACAAUGUAAUUCUUCACAUUGUACUCGUUGCAUGAUGUGUUUGUAAUAGGAAACAUGCACAUUUUUGUGAUUGUAAAGUUUAUGGCAUUUGUUCAAGUACUUAUAUAAUUUUAUUUGUACCCAGAUUUUUGUAAUGUACCUCCA